AUACGGAGGAUGCGAGCGUUAUCCGGAUUUAUUGGGUUUAAAGGGAGCGUAGGUGGGAUAUUAAGUCAGCUGUGAAAGUUUGGGGCUCAACCUUAAAAUUGCAGUUGAUACUGGUUUCCUUGAGUACGGUACAGGUGGGCGGAAUUCGUGGUGUAGCGGUGAAAUGCUUAGAUAUCACGAAGAACUCCGAUCGCGAAGGCAGCUCACCGGGCCGGAACUGGCACUGAUGCUCGAAAGUGCGGGUAUCAAACAGGAUUAGAUACCCUGGUAGUCCGCACAGUAAACGAUGAAUACUCGCUGUUUGCGAUACACGGUAAGCGGCCAAGCGAAAGCGUUAAGUAUUCCACCUGGGGAGUACGCCGGCAACGGUGAAACUCAAAGGAAUUGACGGGC
rnacentral:rRNA from 1 species